UGUGUUUACGAUCAAAUAUGUAUUACAAAUGAAAUAAAAGAAAGAAAAAAUAGUAGUUCUUAAAUUUUGUAUUUAUCGAAGAUUGACAGUAACCGAAUCUAUUCUCCUCUCAAGGAGAAUGUAUUAUACACGAAGUAUAUAACAUGUAUAUAAACUUUAGCGCGUUUAGAAAGCUUUUACUGUUGACAAGUUUAGGUCACUCGUUGCGAAGCUUAAAACCGUUCUACUUUUAGUCGACAGGAGUACUUAACAGGAGUCUGAUGUGUAGUCAGACCAAUUGUUCAUUACGAUUAUUAUUAAGAAGGAAGAAGUUCCCCUUUAGAUAGUGAUUAUUAUUAUAUUACAACAACUAAGUGAUGAAGAAAGGAAGGAAGAAAGGAAGGAAGGAAGGAAGGAAAGAAGCAAGGAAGGAAAAGGCGAGAGUUAUUUUUCGCGUGUUCAAGCUCUACACACACCGGUAGAAGACUUCGUUCUCUUUGAAAUUUUCAUCCGUCUCUUGUAUAUAUCUUUUCUUCUAUUCUUUCAUCCAGUAUCAUCGUAUCUCUUGUCUGUAACCUCGCCGCGCUCGCCGAUUUUAAUCCUUCUCUUUUUCUCCCUUUCUCCUCCUUCUAUUUCCCUCUCUUAUUUUCCUUCGCAUGAUAUAUUUUCUUCUAUCGAUUCUACGGCGAACAAUCGUUUCUUUUUUUCAAUGCCCCUUAAGCAUUUAAUUGGCUCUCGACUUCGAGCCAUCGUUAUUUCGCUCAAAAAACACCGAACAAUUCUUUAUUCGAAGUUAAAAAGGAGAUUGACUUCUUUCCCUUUUCCCUUUCAAAAAAAUUCGCUUGUAUUUACAAGUAUCCGUGAGAUUUGAAGAAAAACAUUUCGAGGAAAAAGAUAAUCGAAUCUUAUUCUACAACGAAAUAUUUGUAUUCUCUAUCGGAUGAAGUCUAACAAUAUAAAACUUAGCAGUAAAGAAGAGUUUUUCUCAAGCUCGAUUAUAUUACAUCCCUUUGUAGAAAAUAAAAUAAGUUUGAAUUUUAAUACCGUCUUAUACUGAAAGUAGCAAACAGUUUCGUUCAUAUAUUUCGCUCUCUUACGAGGACGAUGACCAUACUCGAAACUAUCAAGGUAUAUUUAAGUUC